ACUCCCAGCAAUCCCUUCCUUUCCGUCUCUCUAAAUCGGGAACCUGCAGCCCAUGCUCUAAUCUCUGAACCACCGUGGUCUUCCACUUGCCUGUAUUCUGACCCAAACUGUCACUGACGCUGCCUACUUGGUCCUUGUGUCUGACAGGGUGAGCGAGGUCCCCCUGGAGAGAGUGUGGUGGGGGCUCCCGGUGCUCCUGGCACCCCUGGUGAGAGAGGGGAACAGGGGCGACCGGGACCUGCCGGCCCCCGAGGGGAGAAAGGAGAAGCUGCACUGACUGAGGAUGACAUUCGGGGCUUUGUGCGUCAGGAGAUGAGUCAGCAUUGUGCCUGCCAGGGACAGUUUAUUGCGUCCGGAUCACGACCCCUCCCUGGUUAUGCUGCGGAUACAGCUGGCCCCCAGCUCCACCAUGUUCCUGUGCUCCGGGUCUCUCACGU
rnacentral:lncRNA from 1 species